rnacentral:rRNA from 1 species
UACAGAGGGGACUAGCGUUGUUCGGAAUCACUGGGCGUAAAGCGCACGUAGGCGGAUGUGUCAGUCAGGGGUGAAAUCCCGGGGCUCAACCUCGGAACUGCCUUUGAUACAGCACGUCUCGAGUCCGGAAGAGGUGGGUGGAAUUCCUAGUGUAGAGGUGAAAUUCGUAGAUAUUAGGAAGAACACCGGUGGCGAAGGCGGCCCACUGGUCCGGUACUGACGCUGAGGUGCGAAAGCGUGGGGAGCAAACAGG